GGCGGCCCGGCGCGGGGCUCUCAUAGUGCUGGAGGGCGUGGACCGCGCCGGGAAGAGCACGCAGAGCCGCAAGCUGGUGGAAGCGCUGUGCGCCGCGGGCCACCGCGCCGAACUGCUCCGGUUCCCGGAAAGAUCAACUGAAAUCGGCAAACUUCUGAGUUCCUACUUGCAAAAGAAAAGUGACGUGGAGGAUCACUCGGUGCACCUGCUUUUUUCUGCAAAUCGCUGGGAACAAGUGUAAAAACCAUUGCACACUGCUCCCUCUGCCCUUGCCACUUUCCUUCCUCCUGAGAUUCAGUGAACGCAGCACUCGAUUCUGAAUGACAGUGACAGUAGUGCUGGGCCUGAUGUUCUUCUGUUUAGCAGUCCUGUGGGCAGAGGUGGUGAAGCGCCCUAGUUCCCAAAGGGCGCUAAUGAAUGCUGUUUCGUCCUCCUGCUCCCCACACCCCAUAACUAAUAGACUUCAGUUUUUCGGGUUUUUUUAGACGGAGUUCCGCUCUGUCGCCAGGCAGAGGUGUGAUCUCGGCUCACUGCAACCUCCGCCUCCCAGGUUCAAGCGAUUCUCCUGCGUCAGCCUCCCGAGUAGCUGGGACUACAGGCGCGCCCCAGCAUGCUCAGCUAAUUUUUGCAAUUUUAAUUUACUUUAUUUUUAAAUUUAAUUUUUGUAUUUUUAGUAGAGACAGGGUUUCACCAUGUUGGCCAGGAUGGUCUCUCUUGACCUUGUGAUCCACUCGCCUCGGCCUCCCAAAGUUCUGGGAUUACGCAGGUGUGAGCCACCGUACCUGGCCCUUUUUUUUUUAUUUUUAAGACAAGGUAUUGCUCUGUGGCCCAGGCUGGAGUGCAGUGGCACCCGAUCAUGGCUCACUGCAGCCUCAACUUCCUAGGCUCAA
rnacentral:lncRNA from 1 species